CGUGCACACUGUUAAAGCCCAGCACUGAUAUCGGUGUAUGGGUGUCGGAAGUGUGCUAGAAUGAUCCGGCUGGGUUUUCGCUAACACCAUAAGGGCUGAACUGCCCCAUGACUGGGGUUUGAUAGCAACCUGAGCUACACUG